UGUCAGGGCGUGUUGCUGCAGGUGAUGCUGCUGGAUCCUGGAAGAGACGUGAUCUGCUGGAGAGUCAUUUAAAACCAGCACAAAGUCCACAACGCUCCCAUAUGACCCGGUUCUGGACUCGUCACAAAGUGUUAAAUCACAGAGAUGGAAAGUAAAGACAGGAGAACAAAAGAGGAUCCAAAAAACUGAACCGUGACCCGUCAGAGGGCUGAUGGCAGGAAGCAGACGGCGUGCCGAUGGAGGGCGACGAGAGGCUCCAGGUUUGUUGUGUCUGGAGCCCUGAGCCUGGAGACGCUCCACGAUGACGC